rnacentral:lncRNA from 1 species
CUGAGAUACUCAUCUUUUCCAUCUCCUGGUGACUAGACAUUCUCCCCUGCCCCCAAUCCCCAACUGAAGGAAGGAGGAUCUGAAGAAAGACAUUUUGAGCUUUUGUCAAAACUUUACCUCACAGCUCCUGCUGCCCUGGGUCUGAACUGUGGCCAAGGGGCCAAAUCCAGGAGACUACUAUAG